rnacentral:misc_RNA from 1 species
AAGUCGUAACAAGGUCUCCGUUGGUGAACCAGCGGAGGGAUCAUUACAGAGUUACUUAAAAACUCCCAACCCUUUGUGAACUUACCACUGUUGCCUCGGCGUUGGCUGCGGCUACCCUAUAGUUACCCUGUAGGCAACUACCCUGUAGUUGCUUACCCUGUACCUAUCUCGUAGUUCGCUUAGGCCCGUCGGAGGACCACUGAACUCUUGUUUUUACUGUGAAUAUCUGAAUGCUUCAACUGAAUAAGUUAAAA